rnacentral:lncRNA from 1 species
AUAUAGAAGACAAACUUGAAAGAAUGUAUUUUCAGAAUAGUAAACAAACAAGCACUUAAAUUACAUGAAUUCCUUCUACCACAUGAAGUAAAUAUAUGAACGACAAUAAUCUUGAAAUAAUACACUGUCUACAAUUUAAAUUACAAGUUACUCAUCAAUUCUCAAUCAGACUCGGUAGUAAACCAUUUUUCUACAGUGAUGGUUCAUCUACAACAGAUUUUUCCAAUGUUUUAAGAACCGGACCGGAAGUCGAACCGUUGUGACCACCGGUUCAAGGUUCAAUUGGUUGGACCGGUUCGACCGUUAUUGA